UAGCACAUAGAUCGAAUCCAUCCGAAUC
rnacentral:sRNA from 1 species